CACACACCCUAGCACAUGUACACACUUCUGUUUCUACUGACAAGAAAGAUGAUGUAGGAUAUCUGCAGACAGAUUUGCUGCACUUUCAGCACUUCUCUUUUCAACCGAGCCAUGAAAAAUCCUAUUUGUGCAGAAUUACGCUCACUAAACGGGAUCUGAUGCUGCGGCGUGCACCUGCACCGAAACUACAAGGAGUCUUUUCCAGGCAGGCCGAGUCUGCGGCGGGGAGUCGAGCCACCGAGCCCUUGGCACUUGCUUUGUGCCGUGCCAAUAAAAGCUGACACCCAGUAGACCAUUACUGGCAGCCAUGCAUGAGAUGGGAUGAGGCGCGCGAGGAGAGUGGACCAUUCAUUGUUUAUUUAUUUCAUUCUCACCGAGGAAGCUGACGGGGGGAGCUCCUUACUUGCAUAUUGGACAGCUCCCCUUCUGUCACCUGUUCAGGCACGCUGAAGCAGUCCAUGAAAUUAAACAACUGUUUUCUUUCCUGUAAUGAGUUUCAUCUCUAAAAUGUUUAAUCCCUUUGACCCUAUACUCUUCAUCUGCACUGAUUGUCCUUAAGUGUCAGAACCCAUGUCCUUCCUUUUCACACCAGCAAAAGUCCACAAUCUGGAUAUUUUGCCUGAACUUUAGCAAAUUGAAUGAAACAUUUUUUUCAGUGUUCUUCUUCAGGAUGCAAACUGAGUGCAUUAUCACUUCAACACUGACUCAUCCUCAUCAUGCAGGCCUGCACAGCACUCUUAUCUCAGGAGAAGUUGUGUGCUGGAUUGCUGAGUCACCUUUCGUGGGAGGCUGCCCUUAUCUCCUAAGAAGCACAACAUUCAGGCAGUUGGUUGCAAAAGGAGGAACUUCAGGCAGGAGCCCUGUGGCCUGCUCUGUCUACACAACCAUAAUACCAAUUGCAGCAACCAUUGCUGACUUCCUCAAAGCCUCAUGGCCAGCGCUGCUUUGUCGGUAAGGUCAGAGGGUACAGCUUUGGACACAUGCGGGUGUGAAUAGAGACACAGGAUAAGCAACUCCUGAGGCCACACAGAGGGAAUGCUGGGACUGAUAUGUGACUCAGCAGUAAUCACCAAGUGCAGAGGGCUCCAAUCAAGAUACUGUCCCAUCCCAGUGACACAGCAGCUGCACUUACUAUACAUCUGUGAGGCAAAAUACUUUUUAAAGAGGACACUACAGAGGUGGUCAAUACUCACUGCUAUAGCUUAAUUACUGAUCGUCAUACUAAUCUCUAAUUAUAAACUGGUCACGUGUAAGCCCCCAAACAUUGAAGCAGAAUUCUGAAAAUGGAAUAGAAGUUUUAUUAGAUAACUAAAUUCUGCAGAUUUGGGAUUAUAUCACACAUCUACACGCUGUAAUCCAUGGCUGCAAAUAUAACCAAACAUAACCUUUUACUUCUCAAGGUCAAUCUACAACCUGAAGAAAGCCAUGUUGCUGUAAUUAAUAUCAUUACCUGGCAAGUCUCAAAACAUCAUCGGGGAUGUAGCCAGUCGACUACGGAACAAAAGACUCCGUCUGGUUCUUAUUUCAUGGAUCUUUAAGCAGUAUUCACUGUUUCACAUUUGGAAGCAUGAGCAGCAUGUAACCCUUAAUUGGUUUCAACACCUUAAUAAGUCAAAGACGUUCAGGACUGAUAAUCACAUUAAAUAGUCCAAUUCAUCUAAAAAGUCAAUUGCAAACUGAAAACUCUCUUUCUUUAGGGAUGCAUUAUGCUGUGAGGUUGUCAGAGUAAAUUAAAUUCCCCUCUGCACACUAAAGCAUCUAUUUCCUUAUGGUAAUUAUCUGCUGGAAUAGACGUGUCACUAGAAGGAGUCAUGCAUGCUUGACAUUUAGCCUUUUUAUGGAGAGGCGAUGAGUAAAAAUUAAGAUGGGGAAAAGGAAAUUAAUCUGCAGCUCAGGCAGGCAUUGAGAGAUCCUGGAGGAUAGUGGCUGAAUCAAUCAUGAUGUUUGUGAGCCUGUUUUGAAAAGAAGCCAAUGAUGAGAUUCAGACCACGGGCUGGAAAAUCUGAGGAGAAGGAGGGGGGGGGGGGGGGGGGGUACUUCUCUUGCAAAUAGUGAAAAGAUUAAGAUGAGAAGGUUUUGCACAAUUGAAUUGUUGACAACACAAAACAUAUAACACUUUUAAAUUUUCUAAACCUCUUCAUUUUGAAAAAGUAAUUUCUAGAUUUAUAUGGUAACAGCUAAUCUCACACAUCUCAAUCUGGGAAGUCCUGUUUUCAUUUGUCACAUUAAGAUGUUCUGCUGAUUGUUUCACUUUUACCUGAACCAGUUAGAUUAUCAUUUCCAGUCUUUAUGCCAAGCUAAGAUACCUUUUCAACCCUUUAGCUCCAUAUCCAGGGUAAAACUAGGGAAUUGUAUUAAUAUUCCUUUUGAACCUUUUGCACUGAAUCAAACAAUGUUCCAUCUUUCCUAUCUGUAAGCACUUCUAUCAUAUUACUGCAUGUCACUAACUUUAAAUAUUCAUGUAUGAUAUAUGUUCCUAACCAUCUUCCCGGCUGUUCUUGGGCUCCCUUGUCUUGUAGUUUCCUCUAGACGUCCUGCUGCUGUGGACCCGUCUGCAGUGGCGAUUCUAGAGUCUGUCAGGGGCCCAGGCAAACAUUUCCUGGGGCCCUCUAAACGGGCGUUCAUCAUAUCUUAUAAAUAAUAGUUACAUUAUCAGCAUUUCGAGGGUACACUUUUAUUUUCUAUUUUGUUGAUGUCAGAAAUGUAGAAGUAAUGAUCCAAUGUCUUGUUUUUUUUUUCUCGCUAAUUGCGAAUGCUGUUUGAUGUGGCCCUCUUAGGGAGGUUUUCUGUCAUUGCAAAAUUAGCACAUUAUGAGCCUCGGCUGUGGAUAAAAGUUUGCUCAACGCUGGUUCGAGGGCCCCCCAGCUGAUUUUUGCCUUGGGUCCCAACAGACUCUAGAAUCGCCUCUGGUCCCAAGCAAUUCCCUGUUGACAAGCGGCACCUCUGCUCUUCUAUGAUCAUUCUAAUAACUGUUGAUGGGAAUCAAAGAGUUGCCUAACUUCAGCUGCUAUAAUUAACAUUAUCAGUCAGCCCAUUUUAUAUUGCCAUUAUAGUUUUUAAUGUUAAAAUUAGAAUGAUCGGACUAUCAUUUUAUACCUUGUUGUUACUGAUAAUCCAACACAUACAUUACUGUCAUUGUAGCUAUACAUCUGUUUUAGUCAUGGUUGUUGUUGCUCUGUUUGUUGUUGCUCUGUCUCACUGCAUCUCACUCUUCAAGCCCGGCAGAUGGCUGUUCAACAUGACUUCGGUUCUGUUCAAAGUUUCUGCUUGUUUAAGAUGCAGAGGCUUUAAAAAACAACAGAUCUAUCUUUAGCCUGAAGCUGCUGCGAGCCAGGGAGAUCACUUCAAAUUCUCAGGUCAGCAAAUAUUGAUGUUUUUCAGUCUGCUGAAAGUUAUGUCUCUAACAAACCCACAGAGAGCGGAGGAGGCAUAAUUGUUCAAAUACAUUGGCAAUGUCUUAGAACUGAAACAUUGCCAAUGUAUUGUCAUGGCCAUUAAGCCAUGUUAUGACAAUGCCAUUUAGACAGAGUAGUUUGCUUGCAAUUAAAAACAAAUCAAAUGACCUAAUACUUGGUGCCAUGGCUUCUUUUUUUGUUGUAGUGGAGACGAAACAGGUAUUGGUAUUGUUAGAUUUUUACCAAAAAUCCAUCUACUAAUCUACACUAUAGAUUUACUGCAGUCACAUCAACUGACAGAAAAAGAGUAAACUUGACAAUCUACAAUGUUGUUGUAAUGAUCGAUCAGGACUUAAUAGGGGAGCUAUUUGCUUUUCAGUGCCAUGUAUGUUUGGCUAAGGAGUUGAGGAUGAGCAGAGAUAGAAGGGGUCUACCAGAAGAAAGAAACCUCAAAGGUUUCUGUAAAUAAAUGUGCAGGAUGAUAUGGUUUGUUAAAUGCUCCCAUCAGAUUACAUUUGGCUGUCACCUGUUUUAUUCACAGUUGUAGGAUAUGUGAACCCUCGCCCUCACAGAGACGAUAAAACUGAUACAACACUAGCAGUCAUUUGCUCUAAAUGCUGUUUAUGGCCACUUGAACCCCUUAAAAUAUGUUUUGUCUUAUUUUUGUCUUUUUUUGUCUACACAUGUUAACUACAAAAUAAAACAAAAUCUGAUGUGAAGGUUUUGAGGCUUUGGAUUUGUUAAAGUCACAUUCAACACAGCUGGACUGAGUAACAAAGUAAAGUUACAUCUCCUGUAACUAAUUAUCUUGGAUGUCGAGCAAUUAAAUGACUUUCUCAAUG